rnacentral:rRNA from 1 species
UACGUAGGUGGCAAGCGUUUGUCCGGAUUUACUGGGCGUAAAGAGCGCGCAGGCGGUUGUACAAGUCGCGUGUGAAAGCCCCCGGCUCAACUGGGGAGGGUCACGCGAUACUGUUCGACUCGAAGGCAGGAGAGGGAAGUGGAAUUCCCGGUGUAGUGGUGAAAUGCGUAGAUAUCGGGAGGAACACCAGUGGCGAAGGCGACUUCCUGGCCUGUUCUUGACGCUGAGGCGCGAAAGCUAGGGUAGCAAACGGGG